AUUGAACGCUGGCGGCAGGCUUAACACAUGCAAGUCGAGCGGGGAAGGUUGCUUUGGUAACUGACCUAGCGGCGGACGGGUGAGUAAUGCUUAGGAAUCUGCCUAUUAGUGGGGGACAACAUUCCGAAAGGAAUGCUAAUACCGCAUACGCCCUACGGGGGAAAGCAGGGGAUCUUCGGACCUUGCGCUAAUAGAUGAGCCUAAGUCGGAUUAGCUAGUUGGUGGGGUAAAGGCCUACCAAGGCGACGAUCUGUAGCGGGUCUGAGAGGAUGAUCCGCCACACUGGGACUGGGACACGGCCCAGACUCCUACGGGAGGCAGCAGUGGGGAAUAUUGGACAAUGGGCGGAAGCCUGAUCCAGCCAUGCCGCGUGUGUGAAGAAGGCCUUUUGGUUGUAAAGCACUUUAAGCGAGGAGGAGGCUCCUUUAGUUAAUACCUAAAGAGAGUGGACGUUACUCGCAGAAUAAGCACCGGCUAACUCUGUGCCAGCAGCCGCGGUAAAAC
rnacentral:rRNA from 1 species